GACGAACGCUGGCGGCGUGCUUAACACAUGCAAGUCGAACGGAAAGGCCCUGCUUGCAGGGUGCUCGAUUGGUGAACGGGGGAGUAACACGUGGGUGAUCUGCCCCUUACUUUGGGAUAAGCCUGGGAAACUGGGUAUAAUACUGGAUAGGACCAUGCUGUAGGUGGUGUGGUGGAGAGAUUAGUUACGGUAAGGGAUGAGCUCGCGGCCUAGCAGCUGGUUGGUGGGGUAAUGGCUUACCAGGGCGUCGACGGGUAGCCGGCCUGAGGGUGUGGAAGGCCGCUUUGGGACUGUGAGACGGACCAGAGUCCUACAGGAGGCAGCGAGGGAGAAUAUGGGACAAUGGGAGAAAGCGUGAUACAGUGACGCAGCAAGGGGGAGGACGUCAUGCAGGUUUUAGGCUCCUUACGGCCAUGUCGAAGCGCUGGUAAUGACGGUAGUGGGAGAAGAAGCACCGGCUAACUACGUG
rnacentral:rRNA from 1 species